rnacentral:rRNA from 1 species
AUUGAACGCUGGCGGCAGGCCUAACACAUGCAAGUCGAACGAGUGGCGGACGGGUGAGUAAUGUCUGGGAAACUGCCUGAUGGAGGGGGAUAACUACUGGAAACGGUAGCUAAUACCGCAUACCAUCAGAUGUGCCCAGAUGGGAUUGGCUAGUUGGGGGGGUAAGGGCUCACCAAGGCGACGAUCCCUAGCUGGUCUGAGAGGGUGACCAGCCAACCUGGAACUGAGACACGGGCCAGACGCCUACGGGGGGCAGCCGGGGGGAAAAUUGCACAAUGGGCGCAAGCCUGAUGCCGCCAUUCCGCGGUGAUGAAGAAGGCCUUCGGGGUGGAAAGUACUUUCAGCGGGGAGGCGUUACCCGCAGAAGAAGCACCGGCUAACUCCGGGCCAGCCGCCGCGGUAAUAC